rnacentral:rRNA from 1 species
UGGGGAAUUUUGGACAAUGGGGGAAACCCUGAUCCAGCCAUCCCGCGUGUGCGAUGAUGGCCUUCGGGUUGUAAAGCACUUUUGGCUGGAAAGAAACUUCAUGGGUUAAUAUCCCGUGACACUGACGGUACCUGCAGAAUAAGCACCGGCUUACUACGUGCCAGCAGCCGCGGUAUUACUUAGGGUGCAAGCGUUAAUCGGAAUUACUGGGCGUAAAGCGUGCGCAGGCGGCUCGGAAAGAAAGAUGUGAAAUCCCAGAGCUCAACUUUGGAACUGCAUUUGUAACUGCGGGGCUAGAGUGUGUCAGAGGGGGGGGGAAUUCCGCGUGUAGCAGUGAAGUGCGUAGAUAUGCGGAGGAACACCGAUGGAGAAGGCAGCGUACAGGGAUUAAACUGACGCUCAUGCACGAAAGCGUGGGGAGCAAACAGG